UUCUUUUUGUAUUGAAGGUAGGCCCUGUUCUAUGAGUAUUAAAUGACUGCAGUAUUUUGACUGUGCUAAGGUAGCAUAGUAAUUUUUUCUUUAAUUAAGAGGUUGAAUGAAUGGGUUAACGAGAUGAAGGCUUUAUUGGUCCAAUAAUUUGAAUUUAGUUGUUGAGGUAAAAAUUCUUCAAUGUUCUAGAGGGACGACAAGACCCUAAGAAAUUUUAAUACAUAGUCUAAUGAAUGGACGUAGUAUUUUGGCUGGGGUGGUCUUAUUUAUUUGCAAAUGUUUUUGAAACAUGAUGUGUGGUUUUGUUGAGCUUUUGGUAAAAACUAAAGUUGAAUUACUCUAGGGAUAACAGCGCUAUUAUUUCAGAGAGUUCAUAUUGAUGAAAUAGAUUGCGACCUCGAUGUUGAAUUAAGUGGCUUUUUUGGGUAGAAGAAAAAAGUAGCAGGUCUGUUCGACCUUAAAAUUCUU
rnacentral:rRNA from 1 species